rnacentral:rRNA from 1 species
GAUAUCCUUCCGAAAGGAGGGCAAUACCGAAUAAUUGUCCGGAGCCGUGAAGGGUUCCGGGGAAAGGGUAGGACCUCUGAUACAAAGCUUUCGCCUUAAGAUGAGCCCAUGGCCCAUCAGCUAGUUGGUAGGGUAAAGGCCUACCAAGGCUACGACGGGUCGCUGGUCUUGGAGAGGACGACCAGCCACACUGGCACUGAGAAUACGGGCCAGACUCCUACGGGAGG